rnacentral:rRNA from 1 species
GACGAACGCUGGCGGCGUGCCUAAUACAUGCAAGUAGAACGCUGAAGGAGGAGCUUGCGCUGCUGGAGGAGUUGCGAACGGGGGAGGAACGCGUAGGGAACCUGCCUGGUAGCGGGGGAUAACUAUUGGAAACGAGAGCGAAUACCGCAGAACAGUAGAGGUUGCAUGACAUUUGGGUAAGAGGUGCAAUUGCACCACUACCAGAUGGACCUGCGUGGUCUUAGCUAGUUGGUGGGGUAACGGCUCCCCAAGGCGACGAUACAUAGCCGACCUGAGAGGGGGAUCGGCCACACUGGGACUGCGACACGGCCCCGACUCCUCCGGGAGGCAGCAGUAGUGGAUCUUCGGCCAUGGUCGGCAGUCUGCCCGAGCAACGCCGCGUCAGGGAAGAAGGUUUUCGGAUCGUAAAGCUCCGUUUUCAGAGAAGAACGAGUGUGAGAGUUGAAAGUUCACACUGUGACGGUAUCUUAACAGAAAGCGACGGCUAACUACGUG